UGCUGGACUGUGGAGUUAAUGAC
rnacentral:piRNA from 1 species